rnacentral:rRNA from 1 species
AAUGAACGCUGGCGGCAGGCUUAACACAUGCAAGUCGAGCGGAGAUGAGGUGCUCGCACCUUAUCUUAGCGGCGGACGGGUGAGUAAUGCUUAGGAAUCUGCCUAUUCGGGGGGGACAGCAUUCCGGAAGGAAUGCUCAUACUGCAUCCGCCCUACGGGAGGAAGCAGGGGAUCUUCGGACCUCGCGCUAAUAGCUGAGCCUAAGUCGGGUUAGCUAGUCGGUGGGGUAAAGGCCUACCAAGGAGACGAGCUGUAGCGGGUCUGAGAGGAUGGGCCGCCACACUGGGACUGAGACACGGCCCAGACUCCUACGGGAGGCAGCAGUGGGGAAUAUUGGACAAUGGGGGGAACCCUGAUCCAGCCAUGCCGCGUGUGUGAAGAAGGCCUUAUGGUUGUAAAGCACUUUAAGCGAGGAGGAGGCUACUGAGACUAAUACUCUUGGAUAGUGGACGUUACUCGCAGAAUAAGCACCGGCUAACUCUGUGCCAGCAGCCGCGGUAAGAC